rnacentral:rRNA from 1 species
AUUGAACGCUGGCGGCAUGCCUUACACAUGCAAGUCGAACGGUAACGGGCCUUCGGGUGCCGACGAGUGGCGCACGGGCGAGUAAUACACCGGAACGUGCCCGAUCCUGGGGGAUAACGAGGCGAAAGCUUUGCUAAUAUCGUAUACGAUCUACGGAUGAAAGCAGGGGAGCGCAAGGCCUUGUGCGGGCGGAGCGGGCGGUGGCCGCUUAGGUUGUUGGUGGGAUUAAAGCUUACCAAGCCCACGAUCUGUAGCUGGACGGAGAGGAUGAUCAGCCGCCUGAGGACUGGAACGCGGACCAGACGACUACGGGAGGCCGCAGUGGGGAAUUGUGGGCAGUGGGGGCAAGCAUUGUACAGCGAGCCCGCGUGCAAGGUGGAGGCCUUCGGGUUGUGAACUGCUUUUGUAGGGAACGAAAAGCCUUCGUUUGAUACAGGAGGGUCGUGACGGUACCGUAAGAAGAAGCACCGGCUAACUACGUG